CUUGCUUCGGCGGAACAUAUAUUAAAAUUGGAACGAUAGAGAGAAGGUUAGUGUGGCCGCUGCGAAAGGAGGGUAGCAUAUUUGAUUAGUAAACAAAACAUCCUU